AGAGUUUGAUUAUGGCUCAGAUUGAACGCUGGCGGCAUGCCUUACACAUGCAAGUCGAACGGCAGCACGGGAGCAAUCCUGGUGGCGAGUGGCGAACGGGUGAGUAAUAUAUCGGAACGUGCCCAGUCGUGGGGGAUAACGCAGCGAAAGCUGUGCUAAUACCGCAUACGAUCUCUGGAUGAAAGCGGGGGACUCGCAAGAGCCUCGCGCGAUUGGAGCGGCCGAUAUCAGAUUAGCUAGUUGGCGGGGUAAAAGCCCACCAAGGCGACGAUCUGUAGCUGGUCUGAGAGGACGACCAGCCACACUGGAACUGAGACACGGUCCAGACUCCUACGGGAGGCAGCAGUGGGGAAUUUUGGACAAUGGGCGCAAGCCUGAUCCAGCAAUGCCGCGUGCAGGAUGAAGGCCUUCGGGUUGUAAACUGCUUUUGUACGGAACGAAACGGUCUGCCCUAAUACGGUGGGCUAAUGACGGUACCGUAAGAAUAAGCACCGGCUAACUACGUGCCAGCAGCCGCGGUAAUACGUAGGGUGCGAGCGUUAAUCGGAAUUACUGGGCGUAAAGCGUGCGCAGGCGGUUAUGUAAGACAGAUGUGAAAUCCCCGGGCUCAACCUGGGACCUGCAUUUGUGACUGCAUAGCUAGAGUACGGUAGAGGGGGAUGGAAUUCCGCGUGUAGCAGUGAAAUGCGUAGAUAUGCGGAGGAACACCGAUGGCGANNNCAAUCCCCUGGACCUGUACUGACGCUCAUGCACGAAAGCGNNNNNAGCAAACAGGAUUAGAUA
rnacentral:rRNA from 1 species